rnacentral:sRNA from 1 species
UCCAUAACAGGCCUUAUACAGGGUGGGC